rnacentral:rRNA from 1 species
UACGGGGGGGGCAAGCGUUGUUCGGAAUUACUGGGCGUAAAGGGCUCGAAGGUGGCCAACUAAGUCAGACGUGAAAUCCCUCGGCUUAACCGGGGAACUGCGUCUGAUACUGGAUGGCUAGAGAUUGGGAGAGGGAUGCGGAAUUCCAGGUGUAGCGGUGAAAUGCGUAGAUAUCUGGAGGAACACCGGUGGCGAAGGCGGCAUCCUGGACCAACACUGACGCUGAGGAGCGAAAGCCAGGGGAGCAAACGGG